AUUUAUAUAGUUUAGCCUUUAAAACUCCUUAUUUUCAAUAAGGGAAUAAGAGAUAUCUCUUUAUAAAUA
rnacentral:tRNA from 1 species